rnacentral:rRNA from 1 species
UACGUAGGGUGCAAGCGUUGUCCGGAAUUAUUGGGCGUAAAGAGCUCGUAGGCGGUUCGUCGCGUCGGCUGUGAAAACCCGGAGCUCAACUCCGGGCCUGCAGUUGAUACGGGCGGACUCGAGUUCGGCAGGGGAGACGUGGAAUUCCAUGUGGUAGCGGUGAAAUGCGCAGAUAUCAGGAGGAACACCGGUGGCGAAGGCGGGUCUCUGGGCCGAUACUGACGCUGAGGAGCGAAAGCGUGGGAGCGAACAGG